AGUAGCAGCCAAACUUGCAAUAAGCGCGUGUGUUUGGAACGUGACAAAGAGUUUGGACAAUUGGAACAACAAGUUCAUACUCUUACGGAUAUGGUGGCUGAUUUGAAACAAGUCCUUCAAGCUUUCAUGGCAAAUAGUUCGGGUAAAUCUACUAAUGGAGAUUCCGAAACAAAUGCAUCUUGAUCCUUAGCUUCUAGCCACUAGUUACAAGGACGAGACAUUGAGGAAUGCAGUUGCAAAGUUUAAGCGGAAGAAAUGAAGACAAUAGGUUUGUCUUUGUUUAUUCAAUCAUGCUUAAGUGGAGAUUGUAGUUACUAACUUCAGUACGUAUUGGGCUUUUAGGUGGCAAUUAGUUUGCUUAGUCAUGUUUGACAAAUGUAAUCUUUUAUUAUUUGAUUUUAGGUUAGUAUUUUCUCUCGUCAUA